rnacentral:rRNA from 1 species
UGAAUACGAGAUGCUACGGCGUCGAAGCAGUGUAUGUCAGACUUCCAAGAAAAGCUCGCAAUGUCAUAAAUAAAGAAUGCCUGUACCAUAACCGACACAGGUGGGUAGGUAGAGUAUACUAAGGGGCGCGAGAUAACUCUCUCUAAGGAACUCGGCAAAAUAACUCCGUAACUUCGGGAGAAGGAGUGCCUUCUUGAAGAAGGUUGCAAUAACAAGAUCCAAGCAACUGUUUAUCAAAAACACAGGUCUCCGCUAAGUCGAAAGACGAUGUAUGGGGGCUGACGCCUGCCCAGUGCCAGAAGGUUAAAGAAGCUGGUUAGCAAUAGCGAAGCUGGUGACUGAAGCCCUGGUGAACGGCGGCCGUAACUAUAACGGUCCUAAGGUAGCGAAAUUCCUUGUCGGGUAAGUUCCGACCCGCACGAAAGGCGUAAUGAUUUGGAUACUGUCUCGGAGAGGGACUCGGUGAAAUAGACUUGUCUGUGAAGAUCGGACUACCUGCACCAGGACAGAAAGACCCUAUGAAGCUUUACUGUAACUUGAAAUUGAAAUUGGACUUUAUUUGCGCAGUAUAGGUGGAAGGCGUUGAGAUUACUCUUGCGGGAUUAGUGGAGCCAUCAGUGAGAUACCACUCCUAUAAUGUUAGAUUUCUAACUUUGGAUCAUAAUCUGGUCAAAGAACAGUUUCAGGCGGGCAGUUUGACUGGGGCGGUCGCCUCCCAAAUGGUAACGGAGGCGUACAAAGGUUUCCUCUGAACGGGUAGAAAUCGUAUCUAGAGUGUAAAGGCAUAAGGAAGCUUGACUGUGAGACCUACAAGUCGAGCAGGGACGAAAGUCGGUCUUAGUGAUCUGACGGUGCUGAGUGGAAAGGCCGUCACUCAACGGAUAAAAGUUACUCUAGGAUAACAGGCUGAUCUCCCCCAAGAGUUCACAUCGACGGGGAGGUUUGGCACCUCGAUGUCGGCUCAUCGCAUCCUGGGGCGGUAGUACGUCCCAAGGGUUGGGCUGUUCGCCCAUGAAAGCGGUACGCGAGCUGGGUUCAGAACGUCGUGAGACAGUUCGGUCCAUAUCCGGUGUAGGCGUUAGAAUAUUGAGAGGAGCCUUCUUUAGUACGAGAGGACCGAGAAGGACAUACCUCUGGUGUACCAGUUAUCGUGCCAACGGUAAACGCUGGGUAGCUAUGUAUGGAGAGGAUAACCGCUGAAAGCAUCUAAGUGGGAAGCCCACCUCAAGAUGAGUAUUCC